rnacentral:rRNA from 1 species
UACAGAGGGUGCGAGCGUUGAUCGGAAUUACUGGGCGUAGAGCGUGCGUAGACGGUUAUUUAAGUCGGGUGUGAAAGCCCCGGGCUCAACCUGGGAAUUGCAUUCGAGACUGAAUAGCUAGGGUACGGUAGAGGGAAGCGGAAUUUCCGGUGUAGCGGUGAAAUGCGUAGAUACUGGGAGGAACACCGGUGGCGAAGGCGGCUACCUGGACAGGUACUGACGCUGAGGUGCGAAAGCGUGGGGAGCAAACAGG